rnacentral:other from 1 species
CGCGCCCUGCGGGGUUCGUGAUAGAUCUUUUUUUAACCCACAUUUCGUUAUAAGGGAUGCCAGAUCAAUGCGUGGUUUGCAGGCCUCCCGGCUGCCGUUCGCGGCUGGAAGUUGGAAGCAAUAAAGCGUGUUGGAGGCAACCCACCUGUCCUAAGAAGGUGCAGGUUAUAACGGGUCUACACGGCUCAUGCGGGGCGCGU